rnacentral:rRNA from 1 species
GUGCCAGCCGCCGCGGUAAUACAGAGGGUGCAAGCGUUAAUCGGAAUUACUGGGCGUAAAGCGUGCGUAGUCGGCUUUUCAAGUCGGGUGUGAAAGCCCCGGGCUCAACCUGGGAAUUGCAUUCGAUACUGGAUCGCUAGAGUUCGGCAGAGGGAAGUGGAAUUUCUGGUGUAGCGGUGAAAUGCGUAGAUAUCAGAAGGAACAUCAGUGGCGAAAGCGACUUCCUGGACCAGAACUGACGAUCAGGCACGAAAGCGUGGGGAGCAAACAGGAUUAGAUACCCCCGUAGUCC